CGUUUAAAGUGAAGGUUAAACUUGUUUAUAGUUAUAAAAUUUUUUAAAAAUUGCCAUUUUUUCACUGUUAACGAAUCCUGCCAAAAGACUGCAAAAGAUAUUUGCGUUUGAAUUAAUUCAUAUAAAUGCCAAUCGAAGCCUUUGUUAGAUGGUGAUAUUUAGAAAAUUUUUUCUGAAAAUAAUUUCAAAUUAUCAAAAACUUGUCUGAAAUUAAAAAAACUGAACAUUGGACCUUAAAAUGCAUCUGAUUUUAAAAUAUUCUCCAACAAUAUAAGAUACUUGCAUAAAAAGAUAAGAAUCUUUGAAAAAACCCUAUCCAGUCAUGGGCUGCUAUUGUUAGUUUUUUGCAGCAACCAUUUAAAUAUGAAAGAAAAAGAAAUAGUUUUAAUACAAAUAUUCACUUAAACGUUGCAAGUGAUUUAAAUAUUGCUUCAGACACAAUGCAGAGAAUAAAGUGUGGUUCAUGCAAAAUAAAAAAAGAUGAAAUGUUUACAUGAAAAAAACAGAAAAUUGCAGCAUUUAAAAGACAGUAUUUUUCACUAAAUUUGUGGAAAUUGAAAUAUUCAGAAGAAAAAAAAAACAGUUCAGCAGAAUAAGUUACAUUCUCUAGAUUUCAUUAAUGAAUUGAGAAUUCUUAAAAUUAGUAGAACGAAGUUGCAACAAAAUGUUAAAAAGAUAGAAAGGAAACACAAAAUUGCUAUCAAAGAAUUACAGGGACAGAUAAAAAUCAAAGAGCAAGAAAAUAAACAACUUGUAGAACAAAAUCAUUAUUUAACUAGUAUUGUUUUAGAAAAAAAAAGAUAAUAGGUUACUUAUAGAAACCAAAAAAUUAAAAACAUAUAACCUACCCAUAAGAAAAUGUGUUUAUGCUGCUAUUAUUAACAAUGUGCCUGUGGAAAGUGUCUCAUUUUUGUUAGAAAAAAUUUCUUAACUGUUACACAACACAGAACUGCAAGAAACACCUCACUCAUCCACAGUAAAUCGAAUGGCAUAUGAGCCAGGUGUUUUAGCAUUGGUUCAGGCUGGUGAGGCACUCUUUCAUUGUAAAUGUGCAACAGUAGUGUUUGAUGCAACCACCAUUUUAGACAAACAUGUAAAUGAGUUUCUUAUCAGUACCUUUCCUCCGAAAAGAUGUUAUUCCUUAUCAACCGCUAAACUUGCUGGAGGUACAGGAUUUGACUGUGCCACUCAUAUUGUCAGUGUAAUAAAAGAACUUCCCAAUACAUUUGCAGAGUUUAAGAAUAUGCCAGCAAUAGAAGUUUUAGAUGUAUUCACUCAAAAAAUCAAAAGUUGUCUGUCAGACAGAGCACCUGUUAAUAGUUGUGUGAAAAACAUGCUUCAGGAGGAGAUGGACAUUCAACUAAUGCAACUGUAAUGCGAUGUUUAUCCAUUGGAAACUAUUGCCUUAAAAGCAUUAUUAGCUCUUAAAACAAUUGAUAAUGAGUUAAAGAUAAAACCGGCUAAAGGAACUGAUGGGGUUGCAGUAACAGUUCUCAAAAAUAUUUCUAAGCUAAGGUAUAGUUUUAAAGACGAUGCAGCAUUCAAAAGCUAUCUUAAAAAAAACAAUGUUGCUCCAGGGCUAUUCCUUAGAUAUGUUGGUAGUAGAUUUCAUGUUUUGUUCCAUAUGGCAGGGAUUGUUGUUACAUACGAAAGACUUAUAAAAACCUUUCUUGAAAACAACUCCAAAAAUAAAAUUUGCCAGCUCUUACUUCAAGAUAUGAGUAAUGAUAUUAAGCUUGUGUAACUGUAAGGGUUGGGCCUGAUAGGAAAAUAAUAACUGGGUCAUGGAUGAGUCUGGUUUAUAAAAAUGCAACAGGAAAGAGUUGAGUUUGUAAGUUUUUAAGGUUUUUUAAUAAACAAAUAAAGUAGUUUAAAAAAUGUACAAAAAUUAUUUUUUUAUUAGGAUGACAUUUUCCAGAAAGCAAUAAGGAAAUUAGCUUACUUCAAAAGUAAUCCAGAAUCAAUUCUCUAUACAGGUGUGGAUAUUUUUAGUCAAGUAUUAAAUAUUAAAAAAGAUAAGGUAUACCAAUCCCUUCGUGUAAUAAAAAAUAAAAAUAUUUUGGUAAAGAUUUUAUCAGCUUUGAUAAGCUACACAAUGACAGUUCUCAAAAGACAGAUGGCCAGGUAUUUGACUGGCAAUCUCUCAAAUCCAUCUAAAGAAAUGAUAACCACACUAUCUGCUCCACCUCAUACAAUGGAGGCUGAAAGGAUCUUGGGCAUGCUUGAUUUUUUUUUGCGUCGUGCUUCUAAUGCUACUUUUGGUUUCCUGGAUUCAAAAAUAAAAGCCAGGGUAAACAAAACAUUUACAUGGCUUGAUGAGAAAACAUUGCUAGAACAAGAAGAUCUUAUUCAAUUUGCAAUUUGCAGAGGAGCUUUAAUGUGUCAAGCCUCUAAAAAAAUUUAAUAAUCUUUUGUAUGAAGAAAUAGGAAAAAGAUGUGCCAAAGCUAAUUUAAAAAAAGAACGUCUGGAAAGAAAGCAACUAGAGAAGGAUGUUAAAAGAGCAAUAGCUGAAAAUGCCAAAACCACAAAUCCUCUUUUUGUUAAUAUUGAUGAAAAACAAAAACAAAUUUUAGGAGUAAUUUUGAAAAAUGGAAACUUGAUAGGGCAGCUCUUAAGCCAUAAAUGGGAGCUAGAUGAUGGUAAUAUAAAUUACUAUAAUAUAUUAGGCAUUAUUAUCUUUUAUUUUGUUCAUUUAAAAAUUACCAUAAUAUAUUAGGCAUUAUUAUCUUUUAUUUUGUUUAUGUUGAUUAUUUUGUAUACAUUUUUAUUUAUUCCUUUUAAUUUUUAAAAUUUUUUAUAUUACCUAAGAGCAGACACAGGAUUAUUUUUCAUUUCAGAGACUGUACUUGGCAUUAUAAAAACUCUAAGUAUAAGUAUGUUCAAUCAUAUAAGAAUGAUUUGCUAUAAGAAUGAUUUGCUAAAAAAUUGUGGUAAUUAAAACUUAGGAACAAAACUAUCUAAAAAGAUAGAAUCCCCCUGUCUCAAAUGUUAAUUUAAUGAGCUAAUAAGUUUUUAAGUUUAUUAUCCAAAACUAAAUUUAAACUCACAUUUUUUAAUGCUCAAAGGUUAUGACCAUGUGAAAUAACUUAAAAAAAUAACUUUAAAAAUAUCAAGAAUUAUUUGUUUUGUUGAUGGAUUUAAAUGUAGUAUAAAAUAAUAAGUUAAGUUAUUUUAAUAACUUAGUAACCUCACAUUUUUAUGUGGGGGUACAAACUUUUUGGGGCAUUUUUGUUCCCAGGCUCCAAUCACUUCAAUUUUUUAUACAAUUUUUUUUCACAUUCUCAUUAGAUUUAAGCAUGAACAAACUUAAAUUUAGAUUAGUUAUGGUAAUUUUUUAAUAAAAUGACUUGAAUCGAAUUUGACCCACUUUUAAAAUGGGCUUAAACACCACCACCCCUAUCUCCCUUUUUUUUUAAUUUAUUUAAUAUAAGUGGGAUAUAAUAAACAGUUUUUAUCAUAUAUGUGACGGUAAAUUGUUAAUACUUUAUGAACUAUGUUAUAAAGUCCACUUUUUGAAGUCAUUUUCUUGUGUAUCUUUGUUAAAAUGUCCACUUUAUUUUCUCUACCUUCAUAAUUAAAUACCUUUUUUUAUAGUUGACCCCAGAUAAUAAAUUUGGUAUAAAAAUUUGUCAUUUAAUAAUGUCUAUAUAAUAGAAUUAAUUUGGUUUAAAAAAUAAAAGUUUAAAAUGUUAAUAUUGAUUUGAUUUAUCUGACUAUUUACAGUUAAACAAAAACUGCAAAGGGCAAAAUAUAAAUAACUUUUCGAAAGGAAUGGCGUUAAGUCUGGAACAUCUUCAACACAUG